CAUGCAAGUCGAACGGAAAGGCCCUUUCGGGGGUGCUCGAGUGGCGAACGGGUGAGUAACACGUGGGUGAUCUGCCCUGCACUUCGGGAUAAGCCUGGGAAACUGGGUCUAAUACCGAAUACAUCCUGCUGGUCGCAUGGCCUGGUGGGGGAAAGCUUUUGCGGUGUGGGAUGGGCCCGCGGCCUAUCAGCUUGUUGGUGGGGUGAUGGCCUACCAAGGCGACGACGGGUAGCCGGCCUGAGAGGGUGUCCGGCCACACUGGGACUGAGAUACGGCCCAGACUCCUACGGGAGGCAGCAGUGGGGAAUAUUGCACAAUGGGCGCAAGCCUGAUGCAGCGACGCCGCGUGAGGGAUGACGGCCUUCGGGUUGUAAACCUCUUUCAAUAGGGACGAAGCGUGAGUGACGGUACCUAUAGAAGAAGCACCGGCCAACUACGUGCCAGCAGCCGCGGUAAUACGUAGGGUGCGAGCGUUGUCCGGAAUUACUGGGCGUAAAGAGCUCGUAGGUGGUUUGUCGCGUUGUUCGUGAAAACUCACA
rnacentral:rRNA from 1 species